AACGAACGCUGGCGGCAUGCCUAACACAAAUGCAAGUCGAACGAAGUCUUCGGACUUAGUGGCGCACGGGUGCGUAACGCGUGGGAAUCUGCCCUUGGGUGCGGAAUAACUUCUCGAAAGGGAUGCUAAUACCGCAUAAUGUCGUAAGACCAAAGAUUUAAUCGCCCAAGGAUGAGCCCGCGUAAGAUUAGCUAGUUGGUGGGGUAAAAGCCUACCAAGGCGACGAUCUUUAGCUGGUCUGAGAGGAUGAUCAGCCACACUGGGACUGAGACACGGCCCAGACUCUACGGGAGGCAGCAGGUGGGGAGUAAUUGCGCAAUGGGC
rnacentral:rRNA from 1 species